AUUACUGAGUUUACGCUCUAUAACCCUUUGUGAACAUACCUAUAACUGUUGCUUCGGCGGGUAGGGUCUCCGUGACCCUCCCGGCCUCCCGCCCCCGGGCGGGUCGGCGCCCGCCGGAGGAUAACCAAACUCUGAUUUAACGACGUUUCUUCUGAGUGGUACAAGCAAAUAAUCAAAACUUUUAACAACGGAUCUCUUGGUUCUGGCAUCGAUGAAGAACGCAGCGAAAUGCGAUAAGUAAUGUGAAUUGCAGAAUUCAGUGAAUCAUCGAAUCUUUGAACGCACAUUGCGCCCGCCAGCAUUCUGGCGGGCAUGCCUGUUCGAGCGUCAUUUCAACCCUCAAGCUCUGCUUGGUGUUGGGGCCCUACAGCUGAUGUAGGCCCUCAAAGGUAGUGGCGGACCCUCCCGGAGCCUCCUUUGCGUAGUAACUUUACGUCUCGCACUGGGAUCCGGAGGGACUCUUGCCGUAAAACCCCCAAUUUUCCAAAGGUUGACCUCGGAUCAGGUAG
rnacentral:rRNA from 1 species